UACGUAGGGGGCAAGCGUUAUUCGGAAUUACUGGGCGUAAAGCGUGCGCAGGCGGUUGCGUAAGUCAGAUGUGAAAGCCCCGGGCUCAACCUGGGAAUUGCAUUUGAGACUGCGUAGCUAGGGUGCGGAAGAGGGAAGCGGAAUUUCCGGUGUAGCGGUGAAAUGCGUAGAUAUCGGAAGGAACACCAGUGGCGAAAGCGGCUUCCUGGUCCAGCACCGACGUUCAGGCACGAAAGCGUGGGGAGCAAACAGG
rnacentral:rRNA from 1 species